rnacentral:lncRNA from 1 species
CUGACUCAGCCUCCCAAAAUGCUGGGAUUACAGGCAUGAGCCAACAUGCCCGGCCAGCCACUGUUUUUGUAGUCAGGAGAUUGCCACCAUAAAUUGUGUAGCCAAGGUGACAAAGAAGUUAUUAAUAAUUUUAUGACACAUUUCCCUUUCCUUCUAUGCCCCUUCUAAGAUGUUUAAAUUUAUUAGCAUAGUAAUAUGGAUUUAAUGACAACACAAUGGAGAAAUCUGGAAUUGCAGAAUGAAUGGUGAUGUUUCACUGCUUUCUGUACAGAUAAUUUUAUCUUCAUUAAAAGCUAGUGAUUUAGGGGUACUCUUAAGAUUAUAAGCCUCCUUUUAUAGAGCUUUGGAACAAACAAAUGUUCUUAAUAAAGAGCAGGAAGUGAGGAGGGGCUGGACUCAGAGGGGUGAGCUGUUAGGAGGCAUUGUCUAGUCUCGGGACAGCAGGCAGAGUAAUUGCUAACUGAAGGAAACUUCCAAGGAUAACUCUGGGAGUCCUCAUCUGGGCUGAAGACAGGACUACUACCAGAGGGGCAGUGGGAUCAAUGGGACUCCAAGCGAGUGCAUGUCACAGAAGCCCUGGCCCUGGUCUCCCAAGGCAGGGAUGCCUGAGUUCUACUUGUCAUGUGUCUCUCUGGCUGACCACAGCUGGCUGUCAGGCCCAGCAAACAUCUCUGCAGCUCUUUCCGGGGCAAAACGUCUCCCCUUCCAGACAUCCAACUUCUUAAUUCUCCUGACCUUAGAGCCCAUCUUAAAACAAAAUGAAAAACAAACCAGGGGAUCAAGUUGCUGGAUGACUCAUUGCAGAGUUUCUCCUUCUUUCCCAAUUACACAGGGUGUCUAAGAUUAGAUUAGCCAAGGCCAACAGUGCAGACUAUUGUGCACCUGGCUAGCAGAGUCUUCCUUAGGCAUUAAAGUAAAAACACUUGAUCACAUAACACCACCUGCCAACAUUCAGCCUCCUCUGCCCAUCAGCCUUGCUGACACAGGGAGUGGAGAUUUGUGUAGAGAAAUGACUCAUUCAAAUAUGACUUAAUCUAAACCGUAAGUGUAUGAUUUAUUAAUGUGCCACCAGGCCUUACACCAAGAGAGCCAUUCCAGAGAAAAGUCCUUUUUCUCCUGAGAACAGUGCCAGCAGCUGGCUUCGUGACAUUCUGGAAGCCCCGUGCAAUGCUGUCAGGAGCAUAGGGAUUUUACUUUAUCUCCCUUGCUUAUGCUCCACAUAACUGAAAUAUCUCACUGGAAGCUGCAGCAGUGCUGGCCCCUUGCACAGCCAUAUGUGACCACUGCAGAACAAUCAGUUGGAGAGACAGUUUGGACUACAUGGAGGGUGGAGAUAAGGACAAAGUGAAGAAUACACAGGAACCAGUGCCUCCUCCUGGAACUAUGCAACUCCAAGCUGCUUCCAUCAGCUGCUAGGUCCAGUAGGGAGGGACCUACUGAGAGAGCUAAUUAAAAAUGUGGUGUCCUGGACUCACGAAGCCAGAAUUGCUGAGGAGAUAGCCCGAGAAUCUGAAUUUUUAGCAGACAUUUUUUUAGGUAAGAACUUCCCAAUGAUUUUGCCGCAAAUGAAUUAAAGAAGAAUAGACACCCUCAGCUUUCUAGUGGCUUGUGGCAAAGAAAGGCACAAGCCCUGGGCUGAUUGUCUUCCUGCAUGAACGGCCUCAUUCAUUUCUCUCAGGUACCUUACCCGCAGGAUCAUUUCUGUGAAUAUCCAUGAGGUGAAAAAGUCUGGGAAACACUGUCCUAGACAGGAAACGCCACGAAGUGUCUGGAUCAAAGAACAGACUAUUGCUCACAGAGCACCUUCAUAGCAUUGUUCCUCAUGCCCCCGUUGCCCAAGGGGAUGGCAGGUUGAGGACCAGAUGUACUUGCAUGUUCAGGGGAUGCAGCACAGAAGAGGAACUCCAAAAUUAUUAUUAUUAUUGUUAUUAUUAUUAUUUUUGAGAUGGAGUCUCGCUCUGU